rnacentral:rRNA from 1 species
UUGACCUCGGAUCAGGUAGGACUACCCGCUGAACUUAAGCAUAUCAUA